rnacentral:rRNA from 1 species
GCAGUCGAGCGAACUUCUUUAGAGCUUGCUUUAAAGAAGUUAGCGGCGGACGGGUGAGUAACACGUGGGCAACCUGCCUGUAAGACUGGGAUAACUUCGGGAAACCGGAGCUAAUACCGGAUAAUAUAUAGUACCUCCUGGUACUAUAUUGAAAGAUGGUUUCGGCUAUCACUUACAGAUGGGCCCGCGGCGCAUUAGCUAGUUGGUGAGGUAACGGCUCACCAAGGCAACGAUGCGUAGCCGACCUGAGAGGGUGAUCGGCCACACUGGGACUGAGACACGGCCCAGACUCCUACGGGAGGCAGCAGUAGGGAAUCUUCCACAAUGGACGAAAGUCUGAUGGAGCAACGCCGCGUGAGCGAUGAAGGCCUUCGGGUCGUAAAGCUCUGUUGUUAGGGAAGAACAAGUGCGAGAGUAACUGCUCGCACCUUGACGGUACCUAACCAGAAAGCCACGGCUAACUACGUGCCAGCAGCCGCGGUAAUACGUAGGUGGCAAGCGUUGUCCGGAAUUAUUGGGCGUAAAGCGCGCGCAGGCGGUUUCUUAAGUCUGAUGUGAAAGCCCACGGCUCAACCGUGG